rnacentral:ncRNA from 1 species
GGUAGGAUAGGGGCCUACCAUGGUGGUGACGGGUGACGGAGAAUUAGGGUUCGAUUCCGGAGAGGGAGCCUGAGAAACGGCUACCACAAAGGCAGCACGUGUGCAAAUUACCAAUCCUGACAUGGGGCGGUAGUGACAAUAAAUAACAAUAUCGGGCGCAUUGGUGUCUGGUAAUUCGAAUGAGUACUAUCUAAAUCCCUUAACGAGGAUCCACUGGAGGGCAAGUCUGGUGCCAAUAGCCAUGGUAAUGCCAGCUCCAAUAGCGUAUAUUUAAGUUGUUGCAGUUAAAAAGCUCGUAGUUGGACCUUGGGCCGGGUCGG